rnacentral:rRNA from 1 species
AGCGAACGCUGGCGGCAGGCCUAAUACAUGCAAGUCGAGCGCACCUUCGGGUGAGCGGCGGACGGGUGAGUAACGCGUGGGAACGUGCUCUUUGGUACGGGAUAACUGAGGGAAACUUCAGCUAAUACCGUAUGUGCCCUACGGGGGAAAGAUUUAUCGCCAUUGGAGCGGCGCGCGUUGGAUUAGCUAGUUGGUGAGGUAAAGGCUCACCAAGGCUACGAACCAUAGCUGGUCUGAGAGGAUGAUCAGCAACACUGGGACUGGGACACGACCGGUCAUCCUAUAGGAGGAAGCAUUAGGGAAUGUUGCGCAGAGGGCUAGAGCAUAACGCAGCCAUGCCGCGUGAAUGACAAAAGUCUUAGGAGUGUAAAAUUCUUUCAUCGGGGUAUGUAAUGACGUUACCCGGACAGGAAGCCCCGGCUAACUUCGUGCCAGCAACCGCCGUAACAC